GCCGGGCGUUAUGGCGGGCGCCUGUGGUCCCAGCUACUUGGGAGGCUGAGGCAGGAGACUCGCUUGAGCCCAGGAGUUGGAGGUUGCUGUGAGCGUGAUACCAUGGCACUCUACCCAGGGGGAUAGCUUGAGGCUCCGUCUCAAAAAAAAAAAAGAAACAGAGUCUCACUUUGAGCCCUGAGUAGAGUGCCAUGGCAUCAUAGCUCACAGCAACUUCAAUCUCUCGGACUCAAGUGAUCCUCCUGC
rnacentral:sRNA from 1 species